UGGGGAAUCUUCCGCAAUGGACGAAAGUCUGACGGAGCAACGCCGCGUGAGUGAUGACGGCCUUCGGGUUGUAAAGCUCUGUUAAUCGGGACGAAUGGUUCUUGUGCAAAGAGUGCGAGGAUUUGACGGUACCGGAAUAGAAAGCCACGGCUAACUACGUGCCAGCAGCCGCGGUAAUACGUAGGUGGCAAGCGUUGUCCGGAAUUCUUGGGCGUAAAGCGCGCGCAGGCGGAUUGGUCAGUCUGUCUUAAAAGUUCGGGGCUUAACCCCGUGAUGGGGUGGUAACUGCCCAUCUAGAGUAUCGGGAAGGAAAGUGGAAUUCCUUGUGUAGCGGUGAAAUGCGUUGAUAAUAAGAAGAACGCCAGUGGCGAAGGCAACUUUCUGGACGAAAACUGACGCUAAGGCGCUAAAGCCAGGGGAGCGAACGGG
rnacentral:rRNA from 1 species